rnacentral:rRNA from 1 species
UACGUAGGGUGCGAGCGUUAAUCGGAAUUACUGGGCGUAAAGCGUGCGCAGGCGGUUUUGUAAGCCAGAUGUGAAAUCCCCGGGCUUAACCUGGGAAUGGCAUUUGGGACUGCAAGGCUCGAGUGCGGCAGAGGAGACUGGAAUUCCUGGUGUAGCAGUGAAAUGCGCAGAUAUCAGGAGGAACACCGAUGGCGAAGGCAGGUCUCUGGGCCAUAACUGACGCUGAGAAGCGAAAGCAUGGGGAGCGAACAGG